AUUAAAAUAUGUCGACGACGGAUUUGAAGACAAAACGAUUUGUUUUGUGUACGCAUAGGAUCGCUGACAACGCCUCCUUCCUCCAAAGGAAUGGUGUUACAGAAAACUGUUAAAUCGGAAGCGAACAAAAAUAAAAUGGGAUCUUUUUAUCCCCAUGCAAUAACGAUAAAUGGUAGGAAAAAGGAAUACAAUUUGACAGAUAUAUACGAACUAAUCUAGAUUAUAACAAUAACGGCUGUAAAACAAAAUAUGACAGAUAAUCAUAAAAAGGGACCGAAUUGCGAAUAACGAUAAUUUAUUUUGCUCAUGAACAUAAAAAAUUAUAAACAAAUAUACGUAAAUACAAUAUUUCGAAUUACAAUACGCAAGAGAUGUAUCUAUACCUAUCCCUAUGUAACUAUAUAUGUAAAAAAUAAUAAAUUAGUUUAAAAAAAAAUACUACUAUCGAAUGGAAAACAGAUAAAAAAUAC